rnacentral:rRNA from 1 species
AUGUGGACGCAGACCGAGAUGGAGAAGCAGAUGUUCUCGUGGUCAUUUGAGGAUGUGCGCAACAGGAAUCUUCUCAAGAAAAAGAAGGUACCAAGAACUUUCACUUCACUAGAGGAGUACAUGGGAUCGGUUACCGUACCACUGAUCGAAGAAACUCGCGCCGAUCUCUACUCUGCGCUUGAGUGCAUCAAACACGCACCAGCCACCGAAGUGAAACGGAUCGACGAGCUUUGUUCAAAGCAGUCCAUCUUCAGCAUUUUGGUCAAGAAGCCUGAACCUAUGAAUACAAACCCGGGGGAAGUUUAUGCCCUCAAGGAUGCAGACAUACUUGUGUUCUUGGAUCGGAAGCCGAGGCACAUCUCGGACCUGGGGCGCAGCAAGGUGCCCUAUGUGAUUGCCUCGGUGCUGAAAGCAGAGGACGCCAACGGCAAUGCGAUCGUGAGGCUGUCAGGCGGGAAACGGGACCUUGUGCCGCCCCUCAUUGCGGUGUUCCUGAUCAACAUGACGACGUACAAUCGUAUAUGGAAUGCACUGGACAUGCAUGUUGCUGGCCUUAGGAACACCAGCAUCAUUGAGAAGAUUGUCAAUUAUACUCCAAGGGUAAAUGACAGUUCAGAACUACCUCUACAUUUGCCAGACAGAUCACUUGGCCUUGAGAAAUUUAGGCUAAACAAGUCACAGCAGAUGGCAGUACUUGACUGUGUUUCAGCAAUGGAGCAGCAGGGUACAUAUCCGGUGCGUCUGAUAUGGGGGCCUCCCGGCACAGGGAAGACGAAGACGAUCAGCACGCUCCUGUGGUCCAUGAUGGUCAAGAACCACAGAACGCUGACCUGCGCUCCGACCAACACUGCGGUUGAUGUUGUGCUGUUUGGAAACGAGGAUCGGAUGAACGUCGAUCAGGACCUCACCAAGAUCUUCCUGGAGAAGCGCGUUCGCCGUCUCCAGAAGUGCUUGAUGCCAAGUUCAGGGUGGACUAGUUGUCUGAGCUCCAUGGUACGGAUUCUCGAGGAACCUUUGGUUCAGUAUGCUACGUACGUUGAGCAGACUGAAAGGCUGAUAGCGGAACGUGCUAAGAAGGAAAAGGAGGAACUUGCGAAGAAGAAGGCAAAGAACAAAGGGGUGGAGGUUAAGCAGGAUGUUGCUAGAAAGAAAGCAGAUAAGAAGAGCAUAAAGAUACAGUCGUUCAAAGAAUAUUUCGUAAGUAACUACAAACGAAUCGAGGAUGAUCUGCGCACCUGCAUCAAUACUUUCUGCGACGAUCUCCCAAGAUCAGCUACAUCUAGGCAGAAUUUCCGUUGCAUGACGGAGGUUCUGCACCUGCUUACAGAGUUUGGGAAGCAAGCGCAGUCCGAACCAGAGAAGCAGCUGCAGACGCUGUUCAGAGACACGUCGGACGGGAAGAACAGCUGCCUGUUUCAGAGUCUGGUGUCAUACGCCCAGGACAGCGUGCGCUCAGAGCUUAAGCAGGCGAGAGCCCUGUGCAUCGAGAAGCUGAAUUACCUGUCCAACAACUUCGACCUGCCAGACAUUUUCGACAAGCGGUCCAUCGAGGAGUUCUUGCUGCAGAAGAGCAAGAGCGUGCUCUACACCGCCUCCAGCUCCGCCCGCCUGCACUACCUGCAGAAGGCCGAGCCGUUCGACAUCCUCGUCGUCGACGAGGCGGCGCAGCUCAAGGAGUGCGAGUCGAUGAUACCUCUGCAGAUUCCUGGGAUCCAGAUCGCCGUUCUCAUCGGUGAUGAAUACCAGCUGCCCGCUCUCGUGAAGAGCCAGGUGUGUGGUGAAGCAGACUUCGGGAGGAGCCUGUUCGAGAGGCUGAGUUCGCUGGGGCACCCCAAGCACCUUCUUAACGUGCAGUACAGGAUGCACCCGGGGAUAAGCAGGUUCCCGGUCUUGAGCUUUUACGGCGGCCAGAUCGACGACGGUGAGAACGUCCUGCGCAGGGACUACGAGCGCAACCACCUGACCGGGCCGAUGUACGGGUCCUACUCCUUCAUCAACAUCGAAGGUGGAAAGGAGAGCUCCGGCAAGCACGACAAGAGCCUCAUCAACAACAUCGAGGUCGCCGCCGUGACCCGGAUCGUGCAGAGGCUCUUCAGAGAGUCGGUGGAGAUGAGGAGGAAGCUGAGCGUGGGCGUGGUGUCGCCGUACAAGGGCCAGGUCCGCGCCAUCCAGGAGAAGCUGGGCAAGACGUACGAGAUGCACGGCGGGUUCUCGGUGAAGGUCCGGUCGGUGGACGGGUUCCAGGGCGCCGAGGAGGACAUCAUCAUCUUCUCCACCGUGCGGAGCAACAGCACCGGCUCCGUCGGCUUCCUCAACAACGUGAACCGCACCAACGUGGCGCUCACACGGGCCAAGCACUGUCUCUGGAUCGUGGGCAACGCGACCACGCUGGUGAGCAGCAAGACGGUGUGGCAGAAGAUAGUGGCGGACGCCAAGGAGAGGGGCUGCUUCUUAAACGCCAACGACGACACGGACCUCUCGGGCGCCAUCGUCAAGGCCGUCAUCGAGCUCGACGAAGUGGAGAGCGCGCUGAGCAUGGAGAUGGGUAACCUGCGCAUCGGCGGGUCACGGUCUGGGGUACGCAACAACCAAACCCCGUGCAGAAAUCCUGGUGCCGAUUAG